rnacentral:rRNA from 1 species
UGGGGGAAUAUUUGCACAAUGGGCGCAAGCCUGAUGCAGCCAUGCCGCGUGUGUGAAGAAGGCCUUCGGGUUGUAAAGCACUUUCAGCGAGGAGGNAAGGUGGUGAACUUAAUACGUUCAUCAAUUGACGUUACUCGCAGAAGAAGCACCGGCUAACUCCGUGCCAGCAGCCGCGGUAAUACGGAGGGUGCAAGCGUUAAUCGGAAUUACUGGGCGUAAAGCGCACGCAGGCGGUUUGUUAAGUCAGAUGUGAAAUCCCCGGGCUCAACCUGGGAACUGCAUUUGAAACUGGCAAGCUAGAGUCUCGUAGAGGGGGGUAGAAUUCCAGUGUAGCGGUGAAAUGCGUAGCAGAUCUGGAGGAAAUACCGGUGGCGAAGGCGGCCCCCUGGACGAAGACUGACGCUCAGGUGCGAAAAGCGUGGGGGAGCAAAACAGGAUUAGAUACCCUGGUAGUCCACGCUGUAAACGAUGUCGAUUUUGGGAGGUUGUGCCCUUGAGGCGUGGCUUCCGGAGCUAACGCGUUAAAUCGACCGCCU